rnacentral:tRNA from 1 species
AUCUCGGUAGCGUGAGGGAUAGAGCGCGGUGCCCGGAAAGCACAAGUGUGGGUUCGAAUCCCGUCCGAGAGU